UUUUUCUAGAAUAUGUCUUCGUCUCAUUUUCGUCAGCAUUUUCACUAUCGCAGUCGGCGUGCAUCCAUCCAUUCACUAUUGAAAUCUGGCCUAUCACCAAAUAAUUACCAAUUCAAUUCAAGCAGAUUCAUCACCAAUUGGAACUUUGCAGUAAGAUGAAUCGCGUCUGGAAUAAUAUUAUUGAAUAUUUUCGAAAUCGUCGAAUCGAGGCGGAAAAUGAUCCAAGAGUCGAACCAAGGGCAUUCUCACAAAUGUUGAUCAGAUUAAGAAACCGAGGUUUUAGGGGAAAUCGGAUGAAAAGAUUUGUCUUCCAAAUUGUCUUUGUCGUAGUCUGCAUGGCUGUAUAUAGCUCCUGGCACGGGGGACUGGCAGGGAUCUUGGGGGUUGUUGAACAUGAGCUUCUUUGGAUUCGUAUUUCUUGGUCUCAUCGCCUUGCAAAUGUUCAAGUUUGUCCUUGGCGUUUUUAGCUGCAUUGUAGUUACACUUUGCGCAACAAACCGUGAAUUUCGGAUUGGUUAUAUUAUGGGAAGAGCAGCGGUGGGGGAACAAUGGGAACGUAUAAAUGCUUAGGAUUCUGGAUUAGGCAUCUUGAUGUACUUUUGAGACUGAUUUGUAAGACUUUGAAGAAUUUUUUACAUUGAUAAAUAAAUCAUUUGUGACAAAGAA